rnacentral:rRNA from 1 species
GUGGGGAAUCUUCCGCAAUGGACGAAAGUCUGACGGAGCAACGCCGCGUGAGUGAAGAAGGUUUUCGGAUCGUAAAGCUCUUUCGUUAGGGACGAACGUGCUCUUUGUAAAUAAUGAGGAGUAAUGACGGUACCUAAAUAAGAAGCCACGGCUAACUACGUGCCAGCAGCCGCGGUAAUACGUAGGUGGCAAGCGUUGUCCGGAAUUAUUGGGCGUAAAGCGCGCGCAGGCGGGAUAUCAAGUCUGUCUUAAAAGUGCGAGGCUCAACCUCGUGAGGGGACAGAAACUGGUAUUCUUGAGUGUCGGAGAGGAAAGUGGAAUUCCAAGUGUAGCGGUGAAAUGCGUAGAGAUUUGGAAGAACACCAGUGGCGAAGGCGACUUUCUGGACGAUGUCUGACGCUGAGGCGCGAAAGCUAGGGGAGCGAACGGGAUUAGAUACCCCAGUAGUCC